AAACACGGGGGCAGCCGGCGCUUCCCGGCCGGUGUCGCUCCGCGGCGGGCCAUGGCCAACGUCUCUAAGAAGGUGUCGUGGUCCGGCCGGGACCGGGACGACGAGGAGGCGGCGCCGCUGCUGCGGAGGACGGCGCGGCCCGGCGGGGGGACGCCGCUGCUGAACGGGGCUGGGCCCGGGGCUGCGCGCCAGUCACCACGUUCUGCGCUUUUCCGAAUCGGACAUAUGAGCAACGUGGAGCUGGAUGAUGAACUUUUGGACCCGGAUAUGGACCCUCCACAUCCCUUCCCCAAGGAGAUCCCACACAACGAGAAGCUCCUGUCCCUCAAGUAUGAGAGCUUGGACUAUGACAACAGUGAGAACCAGCUGUUCCUGGAGGAGGAGCGGCGGAUCAACCACACGGCCUUCCGGACGGUGGAGAUCAAGCGCUGGGUCAUCUGCGCCCUCAUCGGGAUCCUCACGGGCCUCGUGGCCUGCUUCAUUGACAUUGUGGUGGAAAACCUGGCUGGCCUCAAGUACAGGGUCAUCAAGGGCAGUAUCCUUCCUGGUACGGCCGGUGCAGCUUGGGAGGGGGGCGUGAC
rnacentral:sRNA from 1 species